UGGGGAAUUUUGGACAAUGGGCGAAAGCCUGAUCCAGCAAUGCCGCGUGAGUGAAGAAGGCCUUCGGGUUGUAAAGCUCUUUUGUCAGGGAAGAAACGGUGAGAGCUAAUAUCUUUUGCUAAUGACGGUACCUGAAGAAUAAGCACCGGCUAACUACGUGCCAGCAGCCGCGGUAAUACGUAGGGUGCAAGCGUUAAUCGGAAUUACUGGGCGUAAAGCGUGCGCAGGCGGUUUUGUAAGUCUGUCGUGAAAUCCCCGGGCUCAACCUGGGAAUUGCGAUGGAGACUGCAAGGCUAGAAUCUGGCAGAGGGGGGUAGAAUUCCACGUGUAGCAGUGAAAUGCGUAGAGAUGUGGAGGAACACCGAUGGCGAAGGCAGCCCCCUGGGUCAAGAUUGACGCUCAUGCACGAAAGCGUGGGGAGCAAACAGGAUUAGAUACCCGGGUAGUCCCUGAGCGGGCUGGCAAGG
rnacentral:rRNA from 1 species